rnacentral:lncRNA from 1 species
CUACUACACUGUCUGAGCCAAGGUCUACAUGCUUUCUGGGUUGAAGCUAUGAACCCACAGGCUUGGCUCGGUCAUCCCUUUCAGACUUUUGGGAGGGAGGAUGGACAGACAAUGAGCCUGUCAUAGUGGAUGCAAGUAAUGUCCCCACGCGCUCUGACAGCUUUCAUGGCUGGGGUAAGUUCUUUCCUCUUCUUCCUCUUCUGGCGCACAGCUCCAGGAUAGUCCUAGACAUUCCGCACAAGUUCUUGGCUCUUUCCAGAACAGCUACCUUGUCCUUGAUCCUCAGGAACUUGACCACUAUCGGCCUGGGCCUGUCACCUGGGCCAGUGUUGGGUUUUCCAGUCCUGUCGGCGCACUCCACCUCACUCUUCUUGUGGUCCAUAUUCUGUUUCUAAGUGAUAAUUUCCC